rnacentral:rRNA from 1 species
UUCCGGUUGAUCCUGCCGGACCCGACUGCUAUUUGGGGGAGGAUAAGCCAUGCGAGUUGAAUGGGAUACCCAAAAAUCCCAUGGCAAACUGCUCAGUAACACAUGACCAACUUACCCUAUAGAGGAAAAUAACCUCGGGAAACUGAGGAUAAUGUUCCAUAGUUGAAUCGGCUUGGAAAAGUUUUUCAAUAAAAGGGAUAAGAAAAAUGGUUCUUAUCUGCUAUAGGAUAGGAUCGUGCUCGAUUAUGGUUGUUGGUGAGGUAACGGCUCACCAAGCCGAUAAUCGAUAGGGGCCGUGAGAGCGGGAGCUCCGAGAUGGGUACUGAGACAACGACCCAGGCCUUACGAGGCGCAGCAGGCGCGAAACCUCCGCAAUACACGAAAGUGUGACGGGGUUACCCAAAGUGUUCUAUUUAGAACUGUGGUAGGUGAGUAAUGUCCCCUACUAGAAAGGAGAGGGCAAGGCUGGUGCCAGCCGCCGCGGUAAAACCAGCUCUUCAAGUGGUCGGGAUAAUUAUUGGGCUUAAAGUGUCCGUAGCCGGUUUAGUAAGUUCCUGGUAAAAUCGGGUAGCUUAACUAUCUAUAUGCUAGGAAUACUACUAUACUAGAGGGCGGGAGAGGUCUGAGGUACUACAGGGGUAGGGGUGAAAUCUUAUAAUCCUUGUAGGACCACCAGUGGCGAAGGCGUCAGACUGGAACGCGCCUGACGGUGAGGGACGAAAGCCAGGGGAGCGAACCGGAUUAGAUACCCGGGUAGUCCUGGCCGUAAACGAUGCACGCUAGGUGUUGGCGCGGCUACGUGCCGCUCCAGUGCCGCAGGGAAGCCGUUAAGCCUGCCGCCUGGGAAGUACGGCCGCAAGGCUGAAACUUAAAGGAAUUGGCGGGGGAGCACCACAAGGGUGAAGCUUGCGGUUUAAUUGGAAUCAACGCCGGAAA